GGGAUAGCUCAGACGGCAGAGCACAAGGCUCCUAAUCUCAGGGUUGUGGGUUUGAGUCCCACUUGGGGCA